rnacentral:misc_RNA from 1 species
CCGAAACAAAAACUAAAACAAGGCUCACCGCACUGCUUCGGCGGUCGGUGAAUCCCUUAUAGCUGGCUCAACUUGAGUUCAUGGUUGCAGACUGGCUCAAAAACGACGAGUCUUUCUUGCUCCGAAAGGGGCGAGGAAGCACCGUUAAAAUUUUGUAAACAAGCAAUAGCUACAAAUUUUGGAAACAAGCAAUAAAAUGAAACAAAAGACGAAUAA